AAGAGCAGAUCACAAGAACACACU
rnacentral:siRNA from 1 species